UUCCGGGUUUCCAGACUUCCGGCAGGCCCUCAGCUGUCAAGAGGCGCAUUCCUCAUUUACCUUACAGCCCCAGGAUUCCUGGCAGUUUCCUAAGAACUCCACAGCUGGAAUGCAGCUGCUUGGGGUGGAGCAAGCAGAACUCUUGGUGAGAAGCCUGAAACUCAAGGAUUAGGGAAGUCAUCUCAGAACACACAACUGAGUCUCAUGUGUUCCAGACUGGCCUCAAGUUUGCUAUAAGACCAAGCCUAACUUUGAAUGAGUGAUCCUCCUGCUUCUACAUUCUAAGUUGCUGGACUUACAGAUGUGCACCACCACACCCCGUUUAUAAAAGAGCGCAGCAGAAAGAGCUGUACUGGGGUUCAAAUCUUAACAUAGCCUUUUUCUGUACCCACGUGGCAGACACUUUUGGUCACCGUCUGAUGGUUAAUAUUCAUAUCAGCUUGAUAGAUUUAGAAUCACCAUGGAAAUGUAUAUCUGGCUGUGUCUAUGGGAGUAUUUCCAGGAAGGUUUAAUUUCUAGGAAGCAUUUAUUAGACUUCCUGCUUCCUGGCUGCAAAGACACAAUGUGACCAAGCUGCCUCAGACUGCUGCUGCCUUGACCUACCCAUCAUGAUGGACGCCAACUUUGAGCACCAGCACUGCGUAAACCAGGCAUGCUGGUACACUGUAGUUCAGUACUCAGGAGGACCAGGAAGAUCAAAAGCAUCGUGGAGUUCAAAGCCAGCCAGGACUACAGAAGACCCUGUCUCAAACCAAAGUCAAACAAAACCAGGAGAAGUACAAUUGUCUUCCUGUUGGAGGCUGGUGAAUGAAAAUGAGGACAUGACUACUCCCAGGUGUGGCUGAAGAGAAGGUUUUAUUAUAGAUAUGAGAGAGAGCGCAGCCAGAUGCAUCUGGAAGAGUCCAGACUGAACUGGGCUAUGAGAGGAGUAAAGGUAGUGGGGGAGGAUGAGAGAGGUGGAGGAAGCAGAGAACCCGGAGGCCAAGAGGCCUGUAGCCAAAAUGGCUGAGUUUAUAUGGGAAAGAGGAGGUGGGGAAAGGGAAUGGCAACCCUUUCCCUGGAGAGGUUCAGAGUAGGGGGCUGGGUGAGAGGUGCUGAGAGGAGCCACAGGUACCCAGCAGAACUUGUUCUGGGUUUCUUUGAGACCUAACAGCAGAUACCACACCAGACAUCUUGCUAUGAAAAGGGCAGCAACUCAAAAGCAUUAAGGAAACACAGUGAACAGGACGAAAUAGAAGGAAUGUACCUUAGACCCUGUUUCCCAGUCCAGAAGCUAAAUUACCCUGUCCUGGGGCAACCGACCUUAUUCCUGGUCUGCUUCCCUCAGACUGUCAGUUCCUUAUUGUUCCCUGAAGGUCCCCCUCCCAUCUCAGUCCAGUAGUACCUAUGUUGCUAUGACUGUCAGAGCCUCCCAACCCAACAGAUCUAAGGACCUGGUGCCAAGUGACCAAAGAUCAUGACAGAUGGCGAGAAAGGAGUCUGAGCAGUUCAAAGGUACCAAAUGCAGAAAAACAUCAAGUUCAAACUCAAGGGGCGGCGCCCCAGUGUAGCUUGGUGGGCUGAGAAAAUGAGCCUCCUUUUUGUGCCUUUUUUUUAAACAAAACAAAAAACCCUGGUCGUAGUUAAACAUCCCAGGCACAGUCCUUUCUAAUUGCUGGCACCCACCUUCGAAGCUGGGUGGUCCCUGUUCACCCUGGGGCACGGAAGGCCUACCACAGGAUGAAGGGGGUGGGGAUGUGAUGUGGUGGGAUUUGGAAGCUGACCGAACAGUAUGAGAGGCAGAAACUUGACUCAGCCCCACUGAGCCCCGACUCUCCUGCACACCACUGUGGGAUGAGGCCUCCUUUGGGGGUGGUGUGUGUCCAGCUCAACCUUUGGCUGGCUGACCACGGCCAGCCUCACAGUCUCCACUUCUCAGUUCUGGGAGCUCAGCAUCUUCAACUGUGAGCAUGCCGUGCCUGCACAGCCUUGUGGUACAGCCAUGGCGGCAGGGAAUGGGCCCCUUCUAGAGGACGCUGUGGAACCAAAGAACCCUAAAGGGGGUUCUUUGCAUAAGCCAGGAGGGAACCGGGAAGAGGGGCCUCUGAGGCUCCCUUUUCAAAGACCAUAGCACCUUAGAAAUCUGUCCCAGGUUCCUGUCCCGUGGGUUUCCCACAGUGACGGACACUCAUCAAUUCUUCCCACCAAGCGGAGGCGACAGUCUUUCAUUCGAGAUGCCAUGCUCCUGUUAGCCACCGGAGGGCGGCAAGACAGCCAUGAAGAGCAAGAUCAGAAUCAAAAGGCCCUCCAAUGGUCUGUAAGCUUCUCUCUGAACUUCACCUCAAAAAAGUCCAAAUAUCAAGGAAAGAAGUGGGAAGGGGAGUCUGUUGCCUUUUAACGUGGGGCGAUAGUGCCGUGACAGUGCCACAAAUCUCUGGUGUAGGCUAGAGGGGAAACUGAGGCAUGGCUAGGUUCGAAUCUUGGUGUCUGGCAUGCCAUGCCUCUCCCUCGGCUCUGGAGUCAGCUGAAGAUGAGGCGGUUGACAGAGAGGGAGUAGGAGAGCUAGGAAGCAGUUCCAGAGAGCCAGUGACUAACUCUGGGGAAAAAGGUUCUGAGCUGGCGGUGGAGUUUGGCUCGAGGCAGGCAGGGCAAGGCAUGGUGGGAGUAAGGGUGUAGGAGGAACUACUUCCCCAUCCGUCCAGAACAUGAUCUGCUGAGGCCCAAAGAAAUAAAGACUUCCAAGAACGCCUAGUACCAGCCUUGGCUCUGUGUCUGUAGUACAAUAGCCUUAGGCAAGCCGCCUCCUCUUGACAGGUUUCUUCCCCUCCGAGUCAAACGUGGAGGACCUGGACUAGCUAGGUCCGGUGUGAGAAUGCCAAGCCCUUCACUUCCCCCUCUGGCAGACCCUCACCUCCCCGGCACCCGGGACACGCCCCUAAUGGGGA